AAUCACUGUAAACCGAAUCUUUCAUCAAGGUGCCAUUUAUUUUCCCCCAAAUUUUGCUCCACCCGUCAGCUACAUUUUUGCCCAAAUCUUGAGAUCUUUGAGUCGCGGUCGACCAACCAACCGAUGCACCAUUUCUUUAACCCGUUAGCUACAUUUUUCCCCAAAUUUGCAGAUUAUUCAACCUUGGUCUACCAACACGUAUUCUUCGACGCCAACGUCCGAUUCUUGCUAAGACUUUGACCGACCAAUACUUCAUAAGUUAACAUCGCUGUUAGUUCCGAAAUCAGAUUUCUACCUGACCCAACUCAUUUACUCAAAGAUGGAGAUAGACAAAGGUUUGUGUAGUUUCUAAUAAUGUAAAAAUUGUAAUGUGUUAAUGGAUCUUUGUCAUGAAAAUGUGUAAUCCCUCUCCCUUCAUGACACUACAGUAAUGUUACUCCACCUAGCGUAAUAUGCUCUGAAGAUGACAAAUUCAUUUGUAAGAAUGUUGUUAGCUUAUGUUGCCCAAAUAUAAAUUCUGUUUUUGUUCCUA
rnacentral:lncRNA from 1 species